rnacentral:rRNA from 1 species
AACGAACGCUGGCGGCAUGCCUAACACAUGCAAGUCGAACGAGACCUUCGGGUCUAGUGGCGCACGGGUGCGUAACGCGUGGGAACCUGCCCUUAGGUUCGGAAUAACUCCCCGAAAGGGGUGCUAAUACCGGAUAAUGUCUUCGGACCAAAGAUUUAUCGCCUUUGGAUGGGCCCGCGUUGGAUUACCUUGUUGGUAGGGUAAAAGCCUACCAAGGCGACGAUCCAUAGCUGGUCUGAGAGGAUGAUCAGCCACACUGGGACUGAGACACGGCCCAGACUCCUACGGGAGGCAGCAGUGGGGAAUAUUGGACAAUGGGCGAAAGCCUGAUCCAGCAAUGCCGCGUGAGUGAUGAAGGCCUUAGGGUUGUAAAGCUCUUUUACCCGGGAUGAUAAUGACAGUACCGGGAGAAUAAGCUCCGGCUAACUCCGUG